rnacentral:rRNA from 1 species
AUUGAACGCUGGCGGCAGGCCUAACACAUGCAAGUCGAACGGUAACAGGAAGCAGCUUGCUGCUUCGCUGACGAGUGGCGGACGGGUGAGUAAUGUCUGGGAAGCUGCCUGAUGGAGGGGGAUAACUACUGGAAACGGUAGCUAAUACCGCAUAAUGUCGCAAGACCAAAGCGGGGGACCUUCGGGCCUCUUGCCAUCGGAUGUGCCCAGAUGGGAUGGCUGGUUGGGGGGGUAACGGCGCCACCAGGCGACGGUGCCUAGCUGGUCUGAGAGGAUGACCUGCGACAAUGGGAGUGGGACACGGUCCAGACUCCUACGGGAGGCACCAGUGGGGAAUAUUGGACAAUGGGCGCAAGCCUGAUGCAGCCAUGCCGCGUGUAUGAAGAAGGCCUUCGGGUUGUAAAGUACUUUCAGCGGGGAGGAAGGGAGUAAAGUUAAUACCGUUGCUCAUUGACGUUACCCGCAGAAGAAGCACCGGCUAACUACGUG